rnacentral:rRNA from 1 species
GCGAAAGCGUGGGAGCAAACGGGAUUAGAUACCCCGGUAGUCCACGCCGUAAACGAUGUCUACUAGCCGUUGGAGGACUUGAUCCUUUAGUGGCGCAGCUAACGCGAUAAGUAGACCGCCUGGGGAGUACGGUCGCAAGAUUAAAACUCAAAUGAAUUGACGGGGGCCCGCACAAGCGGUGGAGCAUGUGGUUUAAUUCGAAGCAACGCGAAGAACCUUACCUACUCUUGACAUCCAGUGAACUUUUGAGAGAUCAAUUGGUGCCUUCGGGAACACUGAGACAGGUGCUGCAUGGCUGUCGUCAGCUCGUGUUGUGAAAUGUUGGGUUAAGUCCCGUAACGAGCGCAACCCUUGUCCUUAGUUACCAUCAUUAAGUUGGGGACUCUAAGGAGACUGCCGGUGACAAACCGGAGGAAGGCGGGGACGACGUCAAGUCAUCAUGGCCCUUACGAGUAGGGCUACACACGUGCUACAAUGGCAUGUACAAAGGGUUGCCAAGCCGCGAGGUGGAGCUAAUCCCAUAAAGCAUGUCGUAGUCCGGAUUGGAGUCUGCAACUCGACUCCAUGAAGUCGGAAUCGCUAGUAAUCGUGAAUCAGAAUGUCACGGUGAAUACGUUCCCGGGCCUUGUACACACCGCCCGUCACACCAUGGGAGUGGGUUGCUCCAGAAGUAGAUAGCUUAACCUUCGGGAGGGCGUUUACCACGGAGUGAUUCAUGACUGGGGUGAAGUCGUAACAAGGUAGCCGUA